UACGUAGGAGACGAGCGUUGUCCGGAGUUACUGGGCGUAAAGGGUGCGCAGGUGGCGGCGCGCGUGGGGGGUGAAAUCGCCCGGCUUAACUGGGCGGGGGCCUUCCAGACGGCGUGGCUUGAGCAGCGGAGGGGGACGUGGAAUUCCGGGUGGAGCGGUGAAAUGCGUAGAGAUCCGGAGGAACACCGGUGGCGAAGGCGGCAUCCUGGACCGGUAUUGACGCUGAGGCGCGAAAGCCAGGGGAGCAAACGGG
rnacentral:rRNA from 1 species